CUGAUGUCCAGAUGUUGAGUCUGGUUGCUGAUGGGAUUGUUGAACACACAGCUGUAGGUGUUUUUAUCCUGAUAUUCCACCUCCAGAGGUAGAGAGAGACUGAUGCUGAGAUCAGA